rnacentral:sRNA from 1 species
UGCAUGAGCUGCACAGCAGAUUGAUUUUAAUAUCAUGACUGUGAAUAAGUACUGAUUCUAUAUUUGUUGUUCUUUUUAACUGAAGCUUAAAGUUCUUCUUGUGCAGUACUAUAUCUUUCUUGAAUCUCAUUUUUUGCAGCUGUGCAAUAACUCUGCUGUCAUCUCUAAUGAUUUGUUCAAUCAGCAGCUGUAGUCUAUGUUCUGAUGUCCAUGCAUUGAUGAACUGCUGAUGUGGCUGCUGAAGAAUGAAUGCAGAUGAGCUGGUGAGCUGCUGAAGCUGCUGAAGACUGAAUACAGAUGGAUUGACAGACUGCUGAGAAUGAAGUAGAAGUGAGUUGAUGAGC